rnacentral:rRNA from 1 species
AGUGAAGCGGGAAAAGCUCAAAUUUAAAAUCUGGCAGUCUUUGGCUGUCCGAGUUGUAAACUAGAGAAGUGUUACCCGCGUCGGACCGUGUACAAGUCUCCUGGAAUGGAGCAUCAUAGAGGGUGAGAAUCCCGUCUUUGACAUGGACUACCGAGGCUUUUGUGGUGCGCUCUCAACGAGUCGAGUUGUUUGGGAAUGCAGCUCAAAAUGGGUGGUAAAUUCCAUCUAAAGCUAAAUAUUGGCGAGAGACCGAUAGCGAACAAGUACCGUGAGGGAAAGAUGAAAAGAACUUUGGAAAGAGAGUUAAACAGUACGUGAAAUUGCUGAAAGGGAAACGCUUGAAGUCAGUCGCGUUGGCCGGAAAUCAACCCUGCUUCUGUUGGGUGUACUUUCUGGUUGACGGGCCAGCAUCAGUUUUGACCGGUGGAAAAAGUCCAAGGGAAUGUGGCAUCUCCGGAUGUGUUAUAGCCCUUGGUCGUAUACAUCGGUUGGGACUGAGGAAUUCAGCACGCCGCAAGGCCGGGUUUCGACCACGUUCGUGCUUAGGAUGCUGGCAUAAUGGCUUUAAUCGACCCGUCU